rnacentral:lncRNA from 1 species
CCGAUCAAAGUAAUGUCAGUAACUAAAAGUGAAUUAGGAGGAUAAACGGGAUUAGAGACGUUUUGGCCAAGGGCCAUAAUUAAGAAAAGGCUAAUCACAAGUCCAUUAGAAAAACUAUAAAUAGAGGUCAAAGGUAAGAGUAGGUAGGUUACAUUGAAUGUACAUUUAUUCUCGAUCACUGUUUUCUCUUUCUAUCUCUACACUGGA